AUGGGGGCGUCUCUCAGCUUCCCCAACAACGGGAAGCAAACCUUGGAGCACGGGGAAGCGUCGAAGCCAGGUUCCUCGAAGAAGCUACGCCACGGUCAUUACCACCCGAGGCUGAUUCCUGACCUCCCGGACGAGAUCUCCCUGCAAAUCCUCGCGAGGAUGCCAAGGGUGCGGUAUCUUAGCAGCAAGAUGGUUUCACGGAGCUGGAAGGCCGCCAUCACAGGUGUGGAGCUGUACCGGGUGAGGAAGGAGCUUGGCGUGGAUGAGGAAUGGAUUUACAUACUCACCAAGGCGGCCGAUGGCAAGCUGUCGUGGCAUGCUUUUGAUCCGCUUUGCAGCCGGUGGCAGAGGCUGCCGCUCAUGCCCGGGGUUGCUCGUGGGGGGAGCCGUUUAGGCGGUUUGGUGAGCGCUGGGAUUAGGAUCUCUGGUGCUAUUAGAGGCUUGCUUCGCCAGGAGGAUUGGUUGGACAAGAUUCCCUUUUGUGCUUGUGCCGUUGGAACGAUCGAUGGAUGCCUCUAUGUUUUGGGCGGGUUCUCCAGAGCCACAGCGAUCAAAAGUGUGUGGAAGUAUGAUCCAGCUGUAAAUCUGUGGCAGGAAGUAAGCUCGAUGAGCACCGCACGAGCGUUUGGCAGGACUGGCCUGUUGAACAACAAGCUGUACGUUGUCGGCGGUGUCAUUAGGGAAGAAACUGGAUUGGCUCCGCUUCAAUCUGCUGAAGUGUUUGACCCGGCCACAGGAAUCUGGGCAGAUGUGCCAAACAUGCCCUUCUCCAAAGCACAAACUCUGCCGACUGCAUUCCUGGCCGACUUACUGAAGCCGGUUGCUACAGGAAUAGUCUCGUUUGGAGGCAAGCUGUAUGUGCCUCAGAGCUUGUAUUCCUGGCCGUUCUUUGUUGAUGUUGGUGGGGAGGUGUUUGAUCCCGCGACGGACUCAUGGUCAGAGAUGCCUGUAGGCCUGAGCGAGGGUUGGCCUGGGAGGCAAGCAGGGACAAAAUUAAGUGCUGUUGUGAAUGGGGACCUAUAUGCUCUGGAGCCACCGACUUGUUCUGAUGGAGGCAAGAUAAAGACGUAUGAUCCGAAGGAAGAUACAUGGAAGGCUGUUGUUGGCCAGGUGCCUGUUGGUGACUUUGCGGAGUCAAAAUGUCCGUACUUGCUUGCGGGGUUUCUUGGGAAGCUCCAUUUGGUCAUCAAAGAUAUGAACAACAUGAUCAGCAUCCUGCAAACGGACGCUCUAAAGCCUAUGGAUGCAACUGGCUCGACAUGCCAAAACCCCGAUGUCUCUUGGCCUUUGGAGCAAGGCAAUGAUGUUUGGAGAAUGGUGGGCUCAAAGAAAUUUGCGGCUGCCGAACUUGUUAGCUGCCAGGCGCUCAGCAUAUGA
rnacentral:rRNA from 1 species